AUUGAACGCUGGCGGCAGGCCUAACACAUGCAAGUCGAACGAGUGGCGGACGGGUGAGUAAUGUCUGGGAAACUGCCUGAUGGAGGGGGAUAACUACUGGAAACGGUAGCUAAUACCGCAUACCAUCAGAUGUGCCCAGAUGGGAUUAGCUAUUUGGUGGGGUAACGGCUCACCAAGGCGACGAUCCCUAGCUGGUCUGAGAGGAUGACCAGGCAACCUGGAACGGAGGCACGGUCCAGACUACAAUGGGAGGCAGCGGUGGGGAAUAUUGCACAAUGGGCGCAAGCCUGAUGCAGACAUGCCGCGUGUAUGAAGAAGGCCUUCGGGUUGUAGAGUACUUUCAGCGGGGAGGCGUUACCCGAAGAAGAAGCACCGGCUAACUCCGUGCCAGCAGCCGCGGUAAUUC
rnacentral:rRNA from 1 species